GCUAAGCCAUAAACAUUGAUAGCCCCAUACCAAGCUAUCCGCCAGAGAACUACUAGUGAAAAACUUAAAACUCAAAGGACUUGGCGGUGUCCCAUUUCGGCCUAGAGGAGCCUGUCCUGUAAUCGAUACUCCCCGUUCCACCCAACCUAUACUUGCACAUUCAGCCUAUAUACCGCCGUCGACAGUCUACCCCAUGAGGGCAUAUUAGUAGACACAAUAGCCACCUCGCUAAAACGUCAGGUCAAGGUGUAGCAAAUGCAUAGGCAGAGAUUGGCUACAUUUUUUACCCCAAAACAUACGAAAUGCAACAUGAAACAUUGCACGAAGGUGAAUUUAGUAGUAAAACAAACGAGAGAGUUUGUUUUAACCCCGCUCUGGGACGCGC
rnacentral:rRNA from 1 species